rnacentral:tRNA from 1 species
UGGCCUAGUGGUUAAGCAUUAGUCUACUAAGCAAAAGGUCAGUGGUUCGAACCCACU